rnacentral:lncRNA from 1 species
CUGAUUAUUUUUUGAAUCGCUGGAAGAUGUGUGAGAGCAAAGCAAAUUAAGGACCCCAGCUCUUUGAUUAUUGUUUUGCAAAAAACAAACCCUCGAAGAUCUGAAACGCAGCUCAAACAGAUACAAAUCCAAUACGAAAAUAUUAGAGAGAAGAGAUACUGCUCUUUGACGACUUCCAGUUCCAGCUCUUUGUCUCUAUCUCGAUCUCGGUCUUAGUCAGAACUGGCGGUUGUUGCGGGCGGUGCGGCGUCGGAGGGGCGCGAGAAGAGGGAGAGAAGAAAGAAGAGAGAGAAAAAAAAUUGAAAUAAUGCCGUGUCAAUAACGCGUGAGUGACAGGCGGCAUUUUUUCAUUUUUUGCAUUGGUCAAUGAUGUUACUGUAGCUUGUAAAUAACGCGUGAGUGCUAU